UACAGAGGUCUCAACCGUUGUUCGGAUUCAUUGGGCGUAAAGGGUGCGUAGGCGGUCGUGCAAGUCGGAUGUGAAAUCUCAGGGCUCAACCCUGAAACUGCAUUCGAUACUGCGUGGCUAGAGUGCUGGAGAGGAGACUGGAAUUUACGGUGUAGCAGUGAAAUGCGUAGAUAUCGUAAGGAAGACCAGUGGCGAAGGCGAGUCUCUGGACAGCAACUGACGCUGAAGCACGAAGGCCAGGGGAGCAAACGGGG
rnacentral:rRNA from 1 species